rnacentral:rRNA from 1 species
UACAGAGGUCCCGAGCGUUGUUCGGAAUCACUGGGCGUAAAGGGAGCGUAGGCGGCGUGGUAAGUCAGAUGUGAAAUCCCGGGGCUCAACCCCGGAACUGCAUCCGAUACUGCCAUGCUAGAGGAUUGGAGAGGUAGCUGGAAUUCUUGGUGUAGCAGUGAAAUGCGUAGAGAUCAAGAGGAACACUCGUGGCGAAAGCGAGCUACUGGACAAUUCCUGACGCUGAGGCUCGAAGGCUAGGGUAGCGAAAGGG